GUGGGGAAUCUUGCGCAAUGGGCGAAAGCCUGACGCAGCCAUGCCGCGUGAAUGAUGAAGGUCUUAGGAUUGUAAAAUUCUUUCACCGGGGACGAUAAUGACGGUACCCGGAGAAGAAGCUCCGGCUAACUUCGUGCCAGCAGCCGCGGUAAUACGAAGGGGGCUAGCGUUGCUCGGAAUUACUGGGCGUAAAGGGCGCGUAGGCGGACAGCUUAGUCAGAGGUGAAAGCCCAGGGCUCAACCUUGGAAUUGCCUUUGAUACUGGCUGUCUUGAGUUUGGGAGAGGUGAGUGGAACUCCGAGUGUAGAGGUGAAAUUCGUAGAUAGUCGGAAGAACACCAGUGGCGAAGGCGACUCACUGGCCCAAUACUGACGCUGAGGCGCGAAAGCGUGGGGAGCAAACAGGAUUAGAUACCCUAGUAGUCC
rnacentral:rRNA from 1 species